rnacentral:rRNA from 1 species
AUUGAACGCUGGCGGCAUGCCUUACACAUGCAAGUCGAACGGCAGCACGGGUGCUUGCACCUGGUGGCGAGUGGCGAACGGGUGAGUAAUACAUCGGAACGUACCUUAUCGUGGGGGAUAACGCAGCGAAAGCUGUGCUAAUACCGCAUACGCCCUGAGGGGGAAAGCGGGGGAUCGAAAGACCUCGCGCGAUUAGAGCGGCCGAUGCCGGAUUAGCUUGUUGGUGGGGUAAAAGCCCACCAAGGCGACGAUCAGUAGCUGGUCUGAGAGGACGAUCAGCCACACUGGGACUGAGACACGGCCCAGACUCCUACGGGAGGCAGCAGUGGGGAAUUUUGGACAAUGGGGGCAACCCUGAUCCAGCAAUGCCGCGUGAGUGAAGAAGGCCUUCGGGUUGUAAAGCUCUUUUGUCAGGGAAGAAACACCGGCUCUAACACAGUCCGGGAAUGACGGUACCUGAAGAAUAAGCACCGGCUAACUUCGUGCCAGCCGCCGCAGUAA